rnacentral:rRNA from 1 species
CGGGGUGCAGCAGGCGCGAAAACUUUACAAUGCGGGAAACCGUGAUAAGGGGACACCGAGUGCCAGCAUCAUAUGCUGGCUGUCCAGGUGUGUAAAAUACACCUGUCAGCAAGGGCCGGGCAAGACCGGUGCCAGCCGCCGCGGUAACACCGGCGGCCCGAGUGGUGAUCGUGAUUAUUGGGUCUAAAGGGUCCGUAGCCGGUUUGGUCAGUCCUCCGGGAAAUCUGACGGCUCAACCGUUAGGCUUUCGGGGGAUACUGCCAGGCUUGGAACCGGGAGAGGUAAGAGGUACUACAGGGGUAGGAGUGAAAUCUUGUAAUCCCUGUGAGACCACCUGUGGCGAAGGCGUCUUACCAGAACGGGUUUGACGGUGAGGGACGAAAGCUGGGGGCACGAACCGGAUUAGAUACCCGGGUAGUCCCAGCCGUAAACGAUGCUCGCUAGGUGUCAGGCAUGGCGCGACCGUGUCUGGUGCCGCAGGGAAGCCGUGAAGCGAGCCACCUGGGAAGUACGGCCGCAAGGCUGAAACUUAAAGGAAUUGGCGGGGGAGCA